GAAUGGACGUCGACCGGCGCACGGGUGAGUAACGCGUAUCCAACCUUCCCGUUACUGCGGGAUAACCUGCCGAAAGGCAGACUAAUACCGCAUGUUCUUCGAUGACGGCAUCAGAUUCGAAGCAAAGAUCCGUCGGUAACGGAGGGGGAUGCGUCUGAUUAGCUAGUUGGCGGGGCGACGGCCCACCAAGGCGACGAUCAGUAGGGGUUCUGAGAGGAAGGUCCCCCACAUUGGAACUGAGACACGGUCCAAACUCCUACGGGAGGCAGCAGUGAGGAAUAUUGGUCAAUGGGCGGAAGCCUGAACCAGCCAAGUAGCGUGCAGGAUGACGGCCCUACGGGUUGUAAACUGCUUUUAUGCGGGGAUAAAGUGAGGGACGUGUCCCUUUUUGCAGGUACCGCAUGAAUAAGGACCGGCUAAUUCCGUGCCAGCAGCCGCGGUAAUACGGAAGGUCCGGGCGUUAUCCGGAUUUAUUGGGUUUAAAGGGAGCGUAGGCCGGGGAUUAAGUGUGUUGUGAAAUGUAGGCGCCCAACGUCUGACUUGCAGCGCAUACUGGUUCCCUUGAGUACGCGCAACGCCGGCGGAAUUCGUCGUGUAGCGGUGAAAUGCUUAGAUAUGACGAAGAACCCCGAUUGCGAAGGCAGCCGGCGGGAGCGCAACUGACGCUGAAGCUCGAAGGUGCGGGUAUCGAACAGGAUUAGAUACCCUGGUAGUCCGCACGGUAAACGAUGGAUGCCCGCUGUCGGCGCCUUGCGCCGGCGGCCAAGCGAAAGCGUUAAGCAUCCCACCUGGGGAGUACGCCGGCAACGGUGAAACUCAAAGGAAUUGACGGGGGCC
rnacentral:rRNA from 1 species